AUUGGCUUUGUGAGGGCUUUAACAUGCUCAAAUUCUUACCAAAAUUUGCAGAAAGUUAGAGAAAGUGGUGAAAAUUUACGUAUUCCUGAGGAAUUUUCAAUGUGCGUCGCAAAAUGGCUCAACGGUGUAAUUAUUAUUGAAGAGAAAAGGUCUGAUUUUAUAUUAUAAAUUAUAUUAUGUAUUUUGGGAAAUCAGAUCUUUUUGUUUACCCCAGUUUAACCUUUUAAAGGGAUCAAACUCUGUAAAUAAGGAAACUGAACUGAUUCUCAUUUACCACAAUAAACUAAACUUAAUUAUCACAUAAAUAUAAAGUAAUGUGAUCUUUGGAAUCAGUCUCACUGAUGCUAAAGAGUAAAGAUUUAAGCCCAAACUGGAAAUGUUAAAUCUUGAGUUUCUGGUGUCUAAAGUCCCAAUGUCAUGUUCUUGAUAUCAGAACAGAGAAUAAUCAAAUCCACUUUUUUUGACCUGAACGAAGGUUUAUUGGAAAAACUGAGAAUGAAUUCGUGAAAGUGGAAAAAAACAACAUCUCAUCACUCAGAUGAUGGAGUCUGAUUUGUUUUUUUGAAGUCUGGUGUCAGAUAUCUGUGAGCAGAUGAGUCACUGUGAAGGAUCUUGUUUUCAAGACCUUCACAUUAGUCAUUGUUUACUGGAUGAAGCCGCAGGAGUUGACAGCUCUUUGGGGGGAAAAGGUUCCAUAAUCCCUGAAGAAGUUCUGCAGCUGUGGUGUUAGAUAACCAGACAUGUUAAUACCCCAUCAGGUAUCAAAAUAGAUCUAUAACGUUUUCAGUAAAAGUAUUGGUACUGAUAUGACUGAGAAGAAAAGAGUUUGGAUUGCAGUCAAGCGCAUUCCCUGUUAUUUCCUGCUCCAGUAUAUUGUAGAAAUGCUACUGGGAGAUGGGCUGUAGUUCUUAUCAUAGUGGUGCGUGUUCAUGUUUCUAAUGAGUUUGGUUUUAAUUAUCUAGACAGGACUCAGGUCUCUAGUUUCAAACAUCACCUUCCUGUGUAAAGGUCCCGACUCAGGAGCAGACAACCCGCUCCUGAUGCAGAUAUAAGAGGCUCAUUCUAAAGUAGCAGAAAAAUGCACUGAUUGUUAGUUUCUGGAGCCAAUAGAUCCUCCACACUGGUCCUUUAGGGGACAAUGUGCAGUAGAAACAAGUGAAAUUUAAUCACCUUGUUUGCUUGUUCCAGACUAAAUAAAGAUAAAGACAAGUGGAGUGUUUUCUUCCUCCCACGAAACCGACAGGUCGACUGUAGCUCUGCCAGUCGCUGUCGUCUCCCUGUCAUGAAACCGUCUGGACCUCUGACCCCACAGCCUCAGACCCUGUACUUUAACCCCACAGCCUCUGAAAACCUCUGCUCCUAUUUAUACCACAGCCGAUCCCUGCAGCUCGUUAAAGCUCCUCCUGUGGCUGUGAGCUUGUAAGCAAUUUGUUUGUGGGGAGAGUUAUCAGGCAGAACGCUGCACGUCUGUUUGGAUGAACGCGUCGGAUCACACAUUCAAAUCAGAGUCCAGUGUGCACUUGAUCUAGGAUUGUUUUUUUUUCUAUUGGUCAAACUGGGACAGUGUUGAUGAUCACUCGCUAUUUGAGCUUCACUUCUAAUAUCUGCAGUCACGGACCUCAGGCUUCUAUCUAAACUAAAGAUAACAUUAUUUUGUCUUUGUGCAUUUUGCUCGACCGCCACCUCUUCACUAGAUCCUCGUAUGACCUUUGGUGGUUUUAACGCUUCAGCCGACCUUGACCUUUUGUCUCUGUCUUCAGAUAGUAAGCUGGCGUGUCUCUGUGCUCAGGAUCACCAGUUCAGCCAGAACUCCUCCACCACUGUUUCCCCACUGCAGCCCUGGUUCCACCAAACACUGCAGCACUCAAACUGUAGUUUCUACCAAUGACCAGCAGAGGGCGACCUGGUUUGCCUGAUAGUUGACAUCCAGAGGGAACCUGAAGACGUGGAGGUCGUGGUGCCCCCUGAGGGUCUUGGAAUUCAACAGAUUCGUUAACUUUUUCUGAUUUUAAAGGUGUACCAGCUGAGAGAGGGUGGAGCAGCUGGAGCAGAAGGUCCAGGUGCUGGAGGGACCGGACAGUGCCUGGGGGUGCUGGUCAACCCUGUCCGCAACAGCUGUGAAUGAGCUGUGCACGGUAGCCAUUGAGAUGGUGGCGGGGGCUACAGCUGAUAGCAGGACAUCUUGUCAGCUUAAUUUUUCCAAUAGGACCUUUUAGCCCUGGAGGAGCUGAUGAGGGAUCAGUCUUGUACAAUACAGGUGGAGGACGAGGAGAUGAAGGUAA